rnacentral:rRNA from 1 species
UACGUAGGGGGCAAGCGUUGUCCGGAUUUAUUGGGCGUAAAGAGCGUGUAGGCGGUUCGGUAGGUCCGUUGUGAAAACUCGAGGCUCAACCUCGAGACGCCGAUGGAAACCAUCGAACUAGAGUCCGGAAGAGGAGAGUGGAAUUCCUGGUGUAGCGGUGAAAUGCGCAGAUAUCAGGAGGAACACCGGUGGUGUAAACGGCUUUCUGGACCAUAACUGACGCUGAGGCACGAAAGCGUGGGUAGCAAACAGG